rnacentral:rRNA from 1 species
AGAGUUUGAUCCUGGCUCAGGACGAACGCUGGCGGCGCGCCUAACACAUGCAAGUCGAACGGAGCUUAGAGAGCUUGCUUUUUAAGCUUAGUGGCGAACGGGUGAGUAACGCGUGAGUAACCUGCCCUAGAGUGGGGGACAACAGUUGGAAACGACUGCUAAUACCGCAUAAGCCCACGGUACCGCAUGGCACUGAGGGAAAAGGAUUUAUUCGCUUUAGGAUGGACUCGCGUCCAAUUAGCUAGUUGGUGAGGUAACGGCCCACCAAGGCGACGAUUGGUAGCCGGACUGAGAGGUUGAACGGCCACAUUGGGACUGAGACACGGCCCAGACUCCUACGGGAGGCAGCAGUGGGGGAUAUUGCACAAUGGGGGAAACCCUGAUGCAGCGACGCCGCGUGGAGGAAGAAGGUUUUCGGAUUGUAAACUCCUGUCGUUAGGGACGAUAAUGACGGUACCUAACAAGAAAGCACCGGCUAACUACGUGCCAGCAGCCGCGGUAAAACGUAGGGUGCAAGCGUUGUCCGGAAUUACUGGGUGUAAAGGGAGCGCAGGCGGGAAGACAAGUUGGAAGUGAAAACCAUGGGCUCAACCCAUGAAUUGCUUUCAAAACUGUUUUUCUUGAGUAGUGCAGAGGUAGAUGGAAUUCCCGGUGUAGCGGUGGAAUGCGUAGAUAUCGGGAGGAACACCAGUGGCGAAGGCGGUCUACUGGGCACCAACUGACGCUGAGGCUCGAAAGCAUGGGUAGCAAACAGGAUUAGAUACCCUGGUAGUCCAUGCCGUAAACGAUGAUUACUAGGUGUUGGGGGAUUGACCCCCUCAGUGCCGCAGUUAACACAAUAAGUAAUCCACCUGGGGAGUACGACCGCAAGGUUGAAACUCAAAGGAAUUGACGGGGGCCCGCACAAGCAGUGGAGUAUGUGGUUUAAUUCGAAGCAACGCGAAGAACCUUACCAGGUCUUGACAUCCGAUGCUUAACACAGAGAUGUGUGAAAUCCUUCGGGACUUCGAGACAGGUGGUGCAUGGUUGUCGUCAACUCCGUGCCGGGAAAUGUUGGGUUAAGUCCCGCAACGAGGGCAACCCUUAUUGCCAGUUACUACGUUAAGAGGACUCUGGCGAGAAUUCCUUUGACAAAACGGAGGGAGGUGGGGAUGACUCCAAAUACUCUUGCCCUUUAAGACCGGGGGUAACAACGUACACAAAAGGGGGUUAACAAAAGGGAAGCAGCCCGCGGGUUGGACAAAACUCAAAAACACGUCUCAGUUCAGAUUGCAGGCUGCAACUCGCCUGCAUGAAGUCGGAAUUGCUAGUAAUCGCGGAUCAGCAUGCCGCGGUGAAUACGUUCCCGGGCCUUGUACACACCGCCCGUC